rnacentral:rRNA from 1 species
UACGGAGGGAGCUAGCGUUAUUCGGAAUUACUGGGCGUAAAGCGCACGUAGGCGGCUUUGUAAGUAAGAGGUGAAAGCCCAGAGCUCAACUCUGGAAUUGCCUUUUAGACUGCAUCGCUUGAAUCAUGGAGAGGUCAGUGGAAUUCCGGGUGUAGAGGUGAAAUUCGUAGAUAUUCGGAAGAACACCAGUGGCGAAGGCGGCUGACUGGACAUGUAUUGACGCUGAGGUGCGAAAGCUAGGGUAGCAAACGGG